ACCGACGCCGGCGACCGCUCCAUCAAAGUGUUUGACUUUUUUGGCCAGAUCAAGCUUGUUAUUGGAGGCCAGUUCUCCUUGCCUUGGGGUGUGGAGACCACCCCUCAGAAUGGGGUCUUGGUAACUGACGCAGAGGCAGGGGCCCUGCACCUCCUGGAAAUCGACUUUCCGGAAGGAGUCCUUCGGAAAACUGAACGGUUGCAAGCUCACCUGCACCAACCCAGGGGGGUGGCCGUGUCCUGGCUCACGGGGGCCAUCGCGGUCCUAGAGCACCCCCGGGCUCGGGGAACCGGAACCUGCAGCACCACGGUGAAGGUGUUCAGUGCAAGUAUGCAGCUCAUCGGCCAAGUGGAUGCCUUUGGGCUGAGCCUCUUUUUCUCCUCCGAAAUAACUGCCUCGGCUGUGACCUUUGAUCACCAGGGAAAUGUGAUUGUUGCUGAUACUUCUAGUCAGGCUGUCCUAUGCUUAGGAAAACCCGAGGAGUUUCCAGUCCUGAAGCCCAUCAUCACCCAGGGCCUUUCCCAUCCUGUGGCACUGACCUUCACCAAGGAAAAUUCUCUUCUUGUGCUGGACAGUGCAGCGCAUUCUAUAAAAAUCUAUAAGGUUGACUGGGGGUGAUGGGGAGUGGUGGGGGCCCCAGGGCCUGGCAUCAGAAGCCCUAGAGCUACAACUUUUGGUUGCUUAACCCUGGAUAAGUUACUUAAUCUGUCCAACAGAGAUAAUUACAAUUUCUGGUAGCCUUACAGAGGUUAAGGCAAUUAUUAAAGAAUGUUAAUUAAAUCUACCAUUUAUUGAUUAUGUACUUCAUGUGCUAAGAAAUUUGCAAAUAUUAGCUCAUUUAAGUUUAUGGUAAUUUCUAUUAUGAAUCCCAUUUUAGAGACGAGAAAACUUAGACCCAGAGGGCUUAAGUGAUUUACUCAAAGUCACAUUUACUCACUAAGACAGUCACAAUUGGAACUCAAUUCUGACUGCAAAUCUGCUUGCUCUUAAAUAAGAUAACAGAUGUGGGGGGGGAAUUGAGAUUGUAUAUUGUUGCUGUGCAUACACUACAAGUAGCUAUUUAGUUAGAGGCACAGAGAAAGACUAGAGAGAGUUCAAGAGAAAAGGAUUUUGUGGUGGACCUCAGAUUUUUCAACCUGCCGUUUCUUCGACGGCACAUUAGAGAGAGUCACUGUGAAGCCAGAGUUACUUGAGUAAGAAAAAUGGAAAUUGCUUUUUCAAAAGAUGUAAGUUUUCUUAGUGCCUGUAGCUCCUCCACUCAAUCAACUGGGUUGGUCGAGAAAGGCCUGUGUUGACAUAAGUUCUAAACUCCUGCAGAACAUUCUAAACCUACCAGUGUUUGGGGGCUGGAUGAUAUUCCUGUUGAUGUUGUUUAAGAGAUAAGUCACCAUAGUCAAUUCAUGGCAGAAAUGAUUUGCCUGCCUUGUUAUGAUCACUGGUAACCUGAGACACUUUUGUGAUGGGGUGUUUCUCAGUCCAGUUUAAUUAACUCUGUCCCAUGUGUUGCAAACUUGAGUACUCAGUUCCCUUGAUUCCCAGUCAGCUUUUAGGCCACUGGUAAACAUUUAAAUACUUCUCGAAUUGAAGUAUAGCCUUGACCAAGAUAAUGCUUGCUUAAUGUUGCAAUUGAUCAAGAGGAUAGGUAGAAAUUUCAAGUGAAGUGGCUGGUUCUUUAUAAAUUGUGUGUGUUUAGCUAGUGUAAACAUCUCAGUGUUUAGGGCUGUUGGAAUAGCACCAAAAAACCGGCACCUCAGAAGCAGCAGCAAAAACUUUCUUGGGGAGAAAAGACCGGUUUUGAAAGGUGAGAGUUUGCUUUAGGUGGGAGCCAACGCUUUUCAACAAUAGGAUCCUAUUUUACGAAGAAUUUUAAUAGCUAUUAGGUACAUACUAGAAACAGCCCCCAAAUUAUGAGUCAGAUUGUAGUUUGUCCUUUGGCGCCAAAAGAGAGGGCUUGGCUCUCGUGCCAGUCCACAGAAGCCCAUCUUGCUUCAGUGCUCCCAUCGCGUAGCAGUAGUAAGAGUGAAGUGACCACUAUUUGUAAGUGGAUUCCAGUAGGGACUCUGGGAACAGCCCCCAGCCCCCCACGCUCCUCCCACCCUUAGAAAUCGCCCUUAGGUCAGUGACUUUACAGGUGUUCUGAGUCCUGUAGCAAGAAAAACUGUCUCAGGUGGGGAUUCGCGUUGAGACUUGAUCAUUUGUGAGUAGGGCAACCAUGGAUUGACCUUAAAAACAUUUUCCUUGGGAGUGAUGACGUUUUAAUGGCCUCAGGGUCAGUUGAGCCGAUCAAGGGACUUUCUCCUCUUUGGAAUGAUCCCUGGUGUCCGGUUGGCUUAUAGAGCCAUGCAUGUGUCUUUUUCAGGCCAGGUGUGGAAUGUGUGGCACGUGUGCAAAGAGCACUUGUUCCUGCAUGGAUUACCCAACGGGAAGAAAGGGGUGUGAGUUCCUGAGAGGCCGUGGGAGCGAGGCAGGGAGGUGGUAAGGGACCUUGUUAAGGGCUACCUCUGCUUGGUAGAUGAUCAGCCUCAGGAGCAGAUGGGCAGGAUGUGCAGCCUAGAGAAAGCAGCUCUUUCCAGGAAUGGCGUUAACUCUGGAGCAGGGUUUCCUGGGGAAGCCCCAGCCUUGCGGUGCUCAGUCCCCAAGCAUGCCCGUGCUGAGGGAACAGGUUCACUAGCCUGCAAGGCAGAGGCUAAAUUCCUCUUUCAGACUGUGUUCUUUGAGGCAAGCUGGUUAGAGGACUCCAGUCCUGUCCCACUCAACUCCAGGCUAUUGAAGGAAUUGGAGCAUCUGAGAUGGGCAGGAGAAAAUAAUCACGGUAAAAGGUCCAAGGUGAUAGAGGAAGUUGGAAUGACUCUCCAGAGACUGGAACCCAAAGAACUUAGCCAGGGGUAGCUGGAGAAGGAGAAGGAACGGGCUUUUUCUGCAAGUCCCCCUCAAUCACACGCCUUUAGACCAGCGCUGCGCACCACACGAGCCACCUGGCAAACCCAUCGAAGCAUCAAAGCACACUCAACAGUGCUCAUCUCACCUCCCGUCUGCUCUAAUUUUGCCCGAUUCCUGAUCCCCGGAUUGUCUGUUUUUGACUUUGUUCUGCCCUCUGGGUUUGCCACCUGGACUUGAUUUUCUCAGUCCUUUUCCAUGGUCUUUUCUAAGGACUUUGGUUCAGAGUCAUCAGUCUUCCCUCUUAACAAGUUACACUCUGGAUCCCAGAACCCAAAGCAUCACCAUUUUGUUUGUGCCUUGUCUAGAUCUUUCCUGGUACGUAGGGGGCAGGUCCCAGUGAAAAUGAAUUAUGUGCCUUUGGAGAAAGCAGCAGUUUUCCUUAUACUUCAGAAAAAUGAGGAAGACCCAUCGGUGACUUAAUCCUCCUUCACCUGCCACCGAAAGAAGAGGUGUAGACUUGGUGGCUAAUGCACCAUGGUCCCUGUGGUGGUGCAUCCUGUAGUAAGGAGAUGAACUGUUUUCUUGAAGAAUAUGUGGAAAAUAAGAUAGGGAGCUGCCAAGACUCACUACAACUGCUGUGCUAAAAAAUCCUGGUUUUCUAAGGAAAACCUGCCCCUUCCACAGGCCCUGCUGAUGGGCUAGACCUCAGCCACCAUAGUUUCUACUGCCUGGCCCUGUCCGAAAGCUGAUUGGAUAGGAGUGCGCCCCCAAUUGAGAAACAGCCUGUCCAUCAAUGUUUCAUCAAAUAUAUUCUCUGGACCAGGAAAUAGGCCAACAAAUUGGCUUGGGAUGAACAGAUUUUCCCCAAAAGGAGUGAGGAAAUUCAAUUAGAGUCUUUUAUUUGUUUGGGGUUGCCUAAUUUAUUUAAAUUGAAGUAUAGUUGGUUUACAAUGCUGUGUCAGUCUCAGAUGUACAGCAAAGUAAUCCAGUUAUGUAUGUUAUGUAUAUUCUUUUUUAGGUUCUUUUCUAUUAUGGCUUAUUACAAAAUGUUGAAUAUAGUUCCCUGU
rnacentral:lncRNA from 1 species